rnacentral:rRNA from 1 species
GUGCCAGCAGCCGCGGUAAUACGUAGGGCGCAAGCGUUGUCCGGAAUUAUUGGGCGUAAAGAGCUUGUAGGCGGCUUGUCGCGUCUGCCGUGAAAACCCGAGGCUCAACCUCGGGCGUGCGGUGGGUACGGGCAGGCUAGAGUGUGGUAGGGGAGACUGGAACUCCUGGUGUAGCGGUGANAUGCGCAGAUAUCAGGAAGAACACCGAUGGCGAAGGCAGGUCUCUGGGCCAUUACUGACACUGAGAAGCGAAAGCAUGGGUAGCGAACAGGAUUAGAUACCCUGGUAGUCC